UGUGGCAAAGUGAUGAAUAAGUUCUUAUCCUACACACUGAAUUGUUGUGUUGACUUACAAACUCCGCUUAUUAUCUGAUGCCAUU
rnacentral:snoRNA from 1 species